UACCCGCAGCACAAGUGGUGGUCAUUAUUAUUGGGCCUAAAGCAUCCGUAGCCGGCCUUACAAGUCCCCCGUUAAAUCCAACUGCUUAACAGAUGGGCUGCGGAGGAUACUAUAAGACUAGGAGGCAGGAGAGGCAAGCGGUACUCAGUGGGUAGGGGUAAAAUCCGUUGAUCCAUUGAAGACCACCAGUGGCGAAGGCGGCUUGCCAGAAUGCGCUCGACGGUGAGGGAUGAAAGCUGGGGGAGCAAACCGG
rnacentral:rRNA from 1 species